GACGAACGCUGGCGGCGUGCUUAACACAUGCAAGUCGAGCGGUAAGGCCCUUUCGGGGGUACACGAGCGGCGAACGGGUGAGUAACACGUGGGUGACCUGCCCUUAGCUCUGGGAUAAGCCUGGGAAACUGGGUCUAAUACCGGAUAUGACUCCAUGACGCAUGUUGUGGGGUGGAAAGCCUUGUGCGGCUAGGGAUGGGCCCGCGGCCUAUCAGCUUGUUGGUGGGGUGAUGGCCCACCAAGGCGACGACGGGUAGCCGGCCUGAGAGGGCGACCGGCCACACUGGGACUGAGACACGGCCCAGACUCCUACGGGAGGCAGCAGUGGGGAAUCUUGCGCAAUGGGCGAAAGCCUGACGCAGCGACGCCGCGUGAGGGAUGACGGCCUU
rnacentral:rRNA from 1 species